rnacentral:lncRNA from 11 species
UGAUGCAUCAGGAGUUAAGUAACUACAUGUUUGUUGCGUAAUCUCUUCUGUUGCUUCCCAGAUGUUCCAGCCAAUCAGAGACUCUAACAAAUGCCAUGUGCUACAAGAAGCAGCUUCACAACAGGAUAUUUAUGGAAGAAAUGCCACAGAUCGUUCCCAGCGUUGUGCAUGUUCUUCUCUUUUUCCAAGCUGAACAAGUCAUAGAGAUCAACUCAUCACAGAGAGACAAUUGUGAAAGGGUGUGUUUCAUACCACGGUUGGAAAUAUCUCACGCCACCACGACACAGACUUCACACCAGCAUCCUGGGCCUUCUUCAUUUGGAACCUCAUCUUUCUAUGGCAAUAUGCCUGGCUGGUCUAUGCCUUGUCAGGUCUCUGCAGAAGGUACUCGCUGGUCAUAACCUGUAGAAUUAGUACAUAUUGCAGGAUUGUUGGAACAUAAUCCAAUGCUCUGUGCAGUUCUCAGAAUUGGUUUUUUUUUUUUUUUUUUGUAUUGUCAGGAAUGAACUUGGCUGGGUCUACAUGUUGCCAGAUGUGCUGCCACUCCCAUUUUACUGGAUAUGGAUGCUGAACAAUGCUUUAAACAUUGGAUGGCUAUUUCUGUGGGAUUCCUUACUCUUCAGUCCAGCGCUACUUGUCCUGGGACUUCUCACUCUCACGAACUAUGCAGCUCUCUUCAUUUCACACCGGGCUUUGUUUCCUCACACAGCCUGGUUCCAAAAACACAGCAAAGCAGACCUCUGGCUUAUCCGGAUUCUGGUGCAAAAUGGAAUUGCUCUGUAUGCCACUUGGACCACAAUAGCUACGCUCCUGAAUUUCACAGUUGUCUUGAUCUACAACGGACAUGUUUCCAAUGAGACUGCCACCAUAGUCUCACUUUGCAUCCUUUUAUGUGAGGUGGCUGUAUGGUUUUAUCUGGAGAACUUCUUAUUCGAUAAAUACGUGCGCUAUAACCUUAUUGUCUACCCAGUGGUCGUUUUAGCAUUAUGUGCCACCUUGCAGAAGAAUAGUAUUGAUUUCUCUCCAAAGGCAAGCAACAUAAUCACGGGUGAGUCUUCUUCCAAAUCCUUGAGGUUUUCUUGAGCAGAUAGUAUUCUAUUGUAUGCCCUUGCAUUGUAUAGUGUUGAAAUAACACUCUUGGAAGGUAAGAAGCAAUGACAAGAAUUGAGAUAUUUCCUUUUUGGCUCUGGUAAGUAAGAAU